rnacentral:rRNA from 1 species
CAGAUUGAACGCUGGCGGCAUGCCUAACACAUGCAAGUCGAACGGGAGUAGCAAUACUCUAGUGGCGGACGGGUGAGGAAUACGUAGGAAUUUGCCCUUAAGUGGGGGAUAACCCGGGGAACCCGGAUUAAUACCGCAUGACCUCGAAAGAGCAAAGUGGGGGAUCGACAAGACCUCACGCUUUUGGAGAAGCCU